UUUGGAGAUGGAGCGGGCCGGGGCGGGGCACGCUGCCGGCGGGGAGCCGGCCCGGGAAAAGCCUUUUAUGGACAGGACCCUGCCCGGACUUACGGCUGCUCCUACUUCACUGUUCUCUGGCCCCGAGUUUGAGAAGAGGGGGAGUUCAAUAGAGUCUGGCUGGAGAGAGGGGCAAGGGGCUGGGGAGCCGGGAAUCCCAGGGGUUUGUGGGGACAAACCAGCCACCCUCUCCUCCUGGGGCUUUUAGCUCUGAUGGGACAUGGGAUCCAACCUUUCCUGAGGACCUACUCCACACCAGGCCCUUUGCAGUGCUCUCAUUGAAUACUCACAGCUACAGUGUGAGGGUGUAAUUACAUCCCCAUUUUAUAGAUGAGGAAACUGAGGCCCCGAGUGCGUCUUCCUCAAGGCCACAUGGUGAAUGCCCACCCUUUCAAUUGGACCACCCUGCUCAGGUUGAGAAGAGCUUUCAGUGCAGGUAGGUCUUGAGUUAUAUGCUUUAGUUGGGGCUGGGAUUUGAGGGUUCGGCAGAAGCUGAGUCCAACUCCGGUCCCCAUCCAGUGGGCAGUGUCAAUAAGAGGGUCUAUAAGGCCUGGCAGGGCCUGAGACACUAACGCAGGAGAAGGAGGCUCAGGAGGCUGGUAUCAUCCCUUCCUCCCUUUAGGAACAGUCCCUACCAGCCUGGAAAACAGACCAGCCUCUGUCACUCCAGAGAUAACCCACUCUCAUCUUGCUCGUACCUGGCUUCAGGGAUCUUGGGGAGAGAUAAGAGGUUAAAAAAGGGACAUAUCAAAACUCCCUCCUCUUGGAGCCUGCCCAGCUUUCAUCACCCUCCUGCCUCGGCCUGCACGCUGAGCGGAUUAUAAACGCCGCAUCAGGGAGCACUGCUUGGGCCUGUGGCUUGGUGAGCUGGGGGCCGCUCAGGUCAGAGGUGAAGUGAGCCUCAGUCUGGUGGGCGGGGCCAGGUGGGCAGAGACUGCUGUUCCUGGGGAGGUAAGGAGGGAUGUCUGCAGUGGGAUGGCGUGGGAAAGGCUUUUCCAGGAACUGGCCUCUGUCCAGCACAGUGCCCCGGUAAAUGUUUACUGAAUUAAUGCUGUUGCUGGAGGGACAGGAAAAACGGGAGAAUCAAGAAAACGGAAAUGCAACCAUAGCAUGGAGACGCUCUGAGAAAAGAUCCAGACCCACCUCAUCUCCCA
rnacentral:lncRNA from 1 species